rnacentral:lncRNA from 1 species
AAGAGUUUUGAGUUGGUUUUUUGGCUGAGCCUGCCGAGGAAGGCAGGCCCCUGCAGGAGUCUUGGAGGGUCGGAUGCAGCGCCCGGAUGAGGAUGAGGCGUGGCGGAAGAUGCGUUUGGCUCUGCAGACACUGCAUCGGGCAGCAGGGGACUCUGGGAGGCUGGUGCAGCCUGAAGGCAUGGCUCUUGACAGCCUUCUAGUAGAAUCUCUGGAAUUGUGCAUGGCAGAAGAGGAAAGAAACUAACGGGUAUUGCGCACCUACUGUGUGCCAGACCCAGGCCAGGUUCCCCCUGCCUCCAGCCAGUCUGUGCAGACUUGUUGCCUGCUGUGUCACCGCGAGCGCGAAGGCUGGGAAGAAGGCCCUUCACAGAAUGGACUGGUGUUGCAGGAUUUCCUUGUCACAUACAUCCUGCAAAUCACAGUCUUGUGGGGGUGACUCUCAUUCAUCCUCGUCCUCUUCAUCAUCCUCAUCUUCCUCCUCCUCUUCCUGCCAUGGGAACUCAGGGGACUGGGAUCCCAGCUCGUUCCUGUCAGCACAUAAGCUCUCAGGCCUCUGGAAUUCCCCACACUCCAGCGGAGCUGUGCCAGGCAGCUCGCUUGGGAGUCCUCCUGUCAUCCCUGGUGAGGCUUUCCCUGUCUCGGAGCGCCACCAGCACUCAGACCUCACUGCUCCCCCUAACAGUCCUACUGGCCCUGCCCCCCAUCCAGCAUCUCUGAUCCCUUCUCACCCUGGCUCCUUCAGCUCGGCAUCCCACCCACACCUGCUGCCCACCACCCCAGCAGCACCCUUCCCUGCCCAGGCUUCAGAGUGCCCUAUGGCUGCUGCCACUGCCACCCACCCCCCAGGGCCAUGUCAGAGCCCUCAUCUGCCCUCCACCAGCAUGCCACUUCUGAAGAUGCCUCCACCACUCCCGGGGUGCAGCCACCCCUGCAGCGGGCACUGCAGCGGGCACUGUGGUGGGCCUCUCCUCCCACCACCGAGCUCUCAGCCACUCCCUAGCACUCACAGCAGGGACCCUGGGUGCAAGGGGCACAAAUUUGCACACAGUGGCCUGGCCUGUGAGGCCGAUGAGGGUCUGGGCGAGGAAGAGGAUAGCAGCUCUGAGCGCAGCUCCUGCACCUCGUCCUCCACCCACCCCCGCGAUGGGAAGUUCUGUGACUGCUGCUACUGUGAGUUCUUCGGCCACAAUGCGGGCAAAAGGAGAGGAAGUGGCAGAGAAAAAGCUAUGAU